GGUGAUAAUGGGAGAAAAUGUCCUACCCUGUUCUGGACCUGGCUAGUUCAAAGCAGGACCACAGGGAUGAGACUGUACCUGGCUGUUUUAAGAGUUUCUUCAUUUGGGAAGCAGCGUGAUGAAAAUUCAUCAUCAUAAUGAAGAGGAGGCGGCAGCAGCAGUGAACAUAGAAAUCAUGGAGGGAAGUCCUCUUGUUUUCAGGCUUCCGCAGGUCAGCCUAGAUCGUGUGGGAGACAGAACGGGACGUCAUUACCAGUGCGAGUCUGGAAAGGAAGGGGGAGGUGCCGCUCCACACACACAGAAGCCUGCUCCUCAGAAGUCACAAUCCAAAACUGUGCCAUGACUGUUUUGCUUUAUUUAAAGAAUAAAAGGAAGUUUCUACUUGGGUCCGUUGUCCUAUCUGGAAAUAACCACAUUAGAAAAGUACCACAUCAAGAAAUGGAGAGUAAGAGAAACAGUGGAGACAGAUUCCACCCAGUGGACUUGAAAGAGCACCAACUGUGGGCUUGGCAGUCACAGAGGUGACUAGGACAGGUGCCUCCCUACCCUGUGGAGCCUACCUCCAGGGUGGGAUCCAGACAGUAAGCAAGCAAUGCAUCCGACAGAGCAAUGGUUCCCAAACUGAGUGAGCGGCAGAAUCAUCUGGGGAGCUUGUUACAGCACAGAUUUCAGGGCCCAACCCCAGCGUGUCUGAUGCAGGAGGUACGAGUGGGUCCUGAGAAUCUGCAUUUCUAACAAAUGCCCAGGUUGUGCUAAUGCUGCCCGAGGACCAGACUUUGAGAACCAUUGCAUUAUAGCGUAAUUAGUGUCUUGCAGGUGAACGUAUAGGGUGUGAUGGGAGCAUGUAAAGAGGCAUCCUACCCAGGCUCGGUCAAGGAAAGCUUAAGUGGGCAUAAGCCAGGUGUGUUGUGUUCCAGGCAGAGAGAAAAGCACAUGCAAAAGAAUAACUGGAGCACUGAUGGGAGGCUAAAAUCAGUUCAGUGUGGCUAUAAUUCAGAGACCAUCAGGGGCCAUGGUGAGAACAAUGUUAAGGAAACAGUAUCUUCUUUGGAUUUACCCAAGUAUCUAGUGGAAGCACAUUGUAAAACUAGGAAAAAUAAAUGUCCAUUUCUGUGUAAGCACAGAGGUUUCUUUGCAAAUAAAUAAAUAAAUGAAUGAA